rnacentral:lncRNA from 1 species
UAUCCUGCAGAAACAGGGAAAUGUGGAUUAUUAUGUGGAUUAUAAUUAGUGGAUAUUCUUUUGUCGGGGGUUUAACCCACUUGGGUCGAUGGACACGUCGGUGGAUUGAUCUAAGUUCCAAUCAGAAUCCUUCAUUUAAGAGAGAGAGAGAGACGUCUGUUUUUCUAUUGGAUGUGUCUCAAUCCACCGCAUCCGACCGAUGUCGCACGUUCUGAGGUGAAAGGUAACAGACCAGGAGACAUCCCAUCUGGGGUGAAAGGUGACAGACCAGGAGACAUCCCAUCUGAGGUGAAAGGUGACAGAGAGGUGUUUAUCAGACCAGGAGACAUCCCAUCUGGGGUGAAAGGUGAGACCAGGAGACAUCCCAUCUGGGGUGAAAGGUAACAGAGAGGUGUUUAUCAGACCAGGAGACAUCCCAUCUGGGGUGAAAGGUGAGACCAGGAGACAUCCCAUCUGGGGUGAAAGGUAACAGAGAGGUGUUUAUCAGACCAGGAGACAUCCCAUCUGAGGUGAAAGGUAACAGACCAGGAGACAUCCCAUCUGGGGUGAAAGGUGAGACCAGGAGACAUCCCAUCUGGGGUGAAAGGUGAGACCAGGAGACAUCCCAUCUGAGGUGAAAGGUAACAGACCAGGAGACAUCCCAUCUGGGGUGAAAGGUAACAGACCAGGAGACAUCCCAUCUGGGGUGAAAGGUGACAGAACUAGAGCGAUGUUUGUCAGACCAGGAGACAUCCCAUCUGGGGUGAAAGGUGACAGACCAGGAGACAUCCCAUCUGGGGUGAAAGGUGAGACCAGGAGACAUCCCAUCUGGGGUGAAAGGUGACAGAGCCAGAGCGAUGUUUGUCAGACCAGGAGACAUCCCGGAA